CCUUCGAUAGCUCAGUUGGUAGAGCGGUGGACUGUAGCGAGUUUGGGGGUCGAUCAUCUGUUACAAUGCAUUUCAAAGUGCAUCUGAUGACCACCUGCAUCCAAUAGAAAUCCAUAGGUCACUGGUUCAACUCCGGUUCGAAGGA
rfam:Anopheles quadriannulatus strain QTAD4_A unplaced genomic scaffold supercont1.15, whole genome shotgun sequence.